GGGUAGCCUAGUGGACAUGGCAUCUGCCCGGUAAGCGGAACACUGUGGGUUCGAUUCCCAUCCUUGUACA
rnacentral:tRNA from 1 species